rnacentral:rRNA from 1 species
UUUAGAUGGCGACCGGCGCACGGGUGAGUAACACGUAUCCAACCUGCCGAUGACUCGGGGAUAGCCUUUCGAAAGAAAGAUUAAUACCCGAUGGCAUAGUUCUUCCGCAUGGUAGAACUAUUAAAGAAUUUCGGUCAUCGAUGGGGAUGCGUUCCAUUAGGUUGUUGGCAGGGUAACGGCCCACCAAGCCUUCGAUGGAUAGGGGUUCUGAGAGGAAGGUCCCCCACAUUGGAACUGAGACACGGUCCAAACUCCUACGGGAGGCAGCAUG